rnacentral:rRNA from 1 species
AUUGAACGCUGGCGGCAUGCCUUACACAUGCAAGUCGAACGGUAACGGGUCCUUCGGGAUGCCGACGAGUGGCGAACGGGUGAGUAAUAUAUCGGAACGUGCCCAGUAGUGGGGGAUAACUGCUCGAAAGAGCAGCUAAUACCGCAUACGACCUGAGAGUGAAAGGGGGGGAUCGCAAGACCUCUCGCUAUUGGAGCGGCCGAUAUCAGAUUAGCUAGUUGGUGGGGUAAAGGCCUACCAAGGCAACGAUCUGUAGUUGGUCUGAGAGGACGACCAGCCACACUGGGACUGAGACACGGCCCAGACUCCUACGGGAGGCAGCAGUGGGGAAUUUUGGACAAUGGGCGCAAGCCUGAUCCAGCAAUGCCGCGUGCAGGAAGAAGGCCUUCGGGUUGUAAACUGCUUUUGUCAGGGAAGAAAUCUUCUGGGCUAAUACCCCGGGAGGAUGACGGUACCUGAAGAAUAAGUACCGGCUAACUACGUGCCAGCCGCCGCAGUAAAAC